GACGAACGCUGGCGGCGUGCCUAAUACAUGCAAGUUGAGCGCUGAAGGUUGGUACUUGUACCAACUGGAUGAGCAGCGAACGGGUGAGUAACGCGUGGGGAAUCUGCCUUUGAGCGGGGGACAACAUUUGGAAACGAAUGCUAAUACCGCAUAAAAACUUUAAACACAAGUUUUAAGUUUGAAAGAUGCAAUUGCAUCACUCAAAGAUGAUCCCGCGUUGUAUUAGCUAGUUGGUGAGGUAAAGGCUCACCAAGGCGAUGAUACGUAGCCGACCUGAGAGGGUGAUCGGCCACAUUGGGACUGAGACACGGCCCAAACUCCUACGGGAGGCAGCAGGAGGGAAUCUUCGGCAAUGGACGAAAGUCUGACCGAGCAACGCCGCGGGAGGGAAGAAGGUUUUCGGGUCGUAAAACUCUGUUGGUAGAGAAGAACGUUGGUGAGAGUGGAAAGCUCAUCAAGUGACGGUAACUACCCAGAAAGGGACGGCUAACUACGUG
rnacentral:rRNA from 1 species